AUUUCAUUGUUAUGAUGGUUUUGUAAAUUUAAGUCAGUAAAAUGUAAAAAUUUUGAUGGACAUUCUAUUCGUCAUUUAAACCGAACCAAUUCAGUGCUUUUGUGGAGCGCCAAAAUAAGAUGGAAAAUACAUUUCAAGAUAUCAGACAAUUUGCAGGAUGUGACAUUGGAGAAAAUCAAAAGCUAAAGAUUUUGAACUUCAUGAAAAGAUUCGGAAAAGUCUCUCUCUGUCUCACAAUUGGUAGAUUUUUGAUUAUUGACAAGAGAAUUCCCCUGAAGAUGGCAAAAACGUUGCAUUCAGUUUUCUCUGGUUUCAAAAAGCUAAAAAGCAUUUCGAAUGAAGAACAAAACUGUUCACAGAUUUAUAAAAUUAAUUUCACAGAAAUGAAUUUAAAAAAUAAAUAAAUAGAACCUCUGUAGGAAUGAGUAUUUUUUAUUAGAAAGUCUUUCUUGGCAAUUCUUUCUGGUAAAUAAUAUGUUUCUUUGCAAUUAUGAUGUUUGUUAAAUGUAUUUUAUA